CUGCUCGGUGGCCUCCUCUGCGUCUGGCUGUCUCCCCCCACUUGCGUCUCUCUCCCCCCUUUGUUCUCGCCUCCGAGCGCUCCCCGCAGCCUCCCCUCCCCCCCUGGUAUUUAAAUCGCCUGCAGGCCCGGAGCCCUCCCCCCGCGGGCCUCCGGGGACACGCAGUGUCCAUCCCAGUGGAGGGGCCCAUCGGGGGAGGGGCGGAGGGGGAGGGUCUCCUUUGUCUGCGCGGCGGCGGCCGCCUGCGCCGGGGAGGGAGGAGGAGGGGGAGCCCGGCCCGGCGCAACCCCCAGGGCCUCUCCUCGGGCCGAAGCCCGUGGUUGCUACAAAGAGGAGCCAGGACUAGAAUUAGGGAAUUGGAGGCAGGGGCUGCCCUGGGGGCGCGGGGGAAGGUGGCAUAGAGCACACUGGAGCCCAGAGGAGGAGAAAGUGCCUGGUUGGGGUGCAGAGAGGGUGCCAGAGUCCAGGGCGGGGGUUCACUGGAGGGAAGGGGUCCGAAUCGCCAGAAUGGGGCUCCCAGCACCAGACGGAGACCUCUCUGCACGCGCUUAGGGCCCUGGAUCUGGAAGCCGGGAAGGGGUGGGGGUGGGAACUUAUCCGUCUCUCCCCACACAAGCACAGCCCUCCCCCGCGGCCUCUGCUUCCGCGUCCCUGUGUCGUCUCCACGGAGUCUCAUGCUCUUCCUUCCUCCCCCCAGCCGGCUCAGUUCGGGGAAGCUGCAGGAGUUCGGCGUGGGUGAUGGCAGCAAGCUGACCUUGGUACCCACCGUGGAAGCGGGCCUCAUGUCUCAGGCCUCAAGGCCGGAACAGUCCGUGAUGCAAGCCCUCGAGAGUCUCACGGAGACGCAGGUAAGACCUCGCCAGCCCCUUCCUAACAGGGCAGCCCUGGAGGCAGGGUGCCUUGGCCACCGACGGGGCCUGGGGGUUGUCUGUGCUCCCAGGAGGCUGGGGGAGGGGAGGGGACGCGCCACCCCGCCUGGGUGCCAGCCUGGCCUGGCCUCCCCACCUCCUCUCCCCCAAGAUUCACCACCUGACCCGGAGGGCUUUCUCUCCCACGGUGGCUGCCCUGGGGGAAGGGGGCCUGGCUUUCACAAGACUGCCUGCAGGAUGACCUUGGCCUGUGGGGCCUCAUCCCUGCUCACACCCCCGCCUGCAUCCCCAGCCCCCUCCGCCCCCACCGAGGAGCCCCCUUCCAGCCGCUGUGGCUUCCCCAGAGCGAGUUUCUCCUUUUUUACAUUUCUGCUGGGGGCUGGGGGCGGCGGCCUGGGUGACACUCCUUCCGCCUUCCGUGACCCCCAUCGUGAGAGGGUGGGGAUCUCGUCGCCCUCCCCUCCUCUCUCUGGCCUUUGUUCUCUACCCCGAAAGGGGUGGGGGCGGGGGUGCCCAGCUCUGGGGCCAGCGAGGCCUAGACAGGAUGUUAGGAAAAUAUUUAGUAAGCGGCCAGGAGGGAGGCUGGGGCUGGCCCUCACCCGCUUCCCGGUUUUGCUGCAGACUUUUUUUUUUUCUCCUUCUUUCCUCAUUUUCUUGGCUGCGGCCAAGCCUUCCUCAGACAAGGGCCCUGGCCACCUCCCAGGAGGGUGACACAGGCCUCAGCAAUCCGCCCGCUGCCAGGGUGGGGGACGCAGGCUGCCACCCGCCCCAGCAAGGGGUGGCCGGCUUCCCGGGCCUCCCUGGCCCCGAGGCCCGCACCCCCUUCCGCUUUCCCAGCGGCAUGUAGAGUCCUGCCCUUUCCCUACAUUGCGGGGGCAGGGCGGGGGCCGGGAGCUGGGUGGUCUGCCAUGGGGGUGGCCACAGCAGCAGCAGCAGUGGCGUGGGGGCAGAGCCGGGGUCCCGAGCCAGGGCGGGGGCUGCAGGUGAUUUCCUGGGGCGAGUGUGAGCAGAGCUCCCCGCCGCUGGGGGGCUGCGGUUGGCAGGGGGCCCAGGGCGUGUUGGCUUCACACCCUCCUCCCUGGGCGCCUGCGUCAGGAAGGAGCUGGGUUGGUAGGGGGCUGGGGGGGGUGUGCUGGGCGGAGACACUGGGCUCCCCAGGGUUGCUUCCCUGCCUGGCACCGAGUCACGCCCGCCCAUUAGCCCUCCCCAGGGAGGAAGUUGCAGGGCGGGUGGUGGUGGGGACUCCAGCUGCUCUCGGGAAGCCACCCCGGGCCCUUCCUGCAAAGGCUGUCUUGGGGCAGGGGGGUAGGGGGCC
rnacentral:lncRNA from 1 species